ACGUAGCUACAUAUUCUUUUUCUCGACCUGCAAAUAAUGUAAUAUUCAUCUUACAAUUGUUACUAGCACAUAUAAAUUAUUAUAUGUAUCAAAAUAUUACCUAAAUCCUUGUUGCAGUAAAGGAUUCUACGAUCCGAUCUUAAUUGGGAUGUCAUAAAAAAGAUCGUUCCUUUGGAUACUACACCGCUGACUAAUACUAUUAUGAAAACGAGUAAAUAAAUGAAAACUUUUGUUAAUUGGACGGUCCUUUCAAGACAUUUUUGAUUUGCCAUUGAACCCGAAUCGAUUUUCGGUGGCGGGUUUCUAAACACGUCCCAUUCUUUCGUUUCCUCGACGGGUCUUCUGCUGUGAGAAAAAAAAUACAAAUAAGGGGUGCUUUCUCCAUCGGAAAAAUCGUCUGGUCCGGUGACCCCACCACCGUGUAUGCUGCCAUUGUGUUUCGGAGCUUUUGACAUUCUGUAUAAAAAUAAAAAAAUUCAAACAUUUGAAUAAAGAAA
rnacentral:lncRNA from 1 species